rnacentral:rRNA from 1 species
GAUCCUGGCUCAGGAUGAACGCUGGCGGCGUGCUUAACACAUGCAAGUCGAACGAAGAUACUUAAAAUGAGAGCUUCGGCAGGAUUUUUAUUUAUCUUAGUGGCGGACGGGUGAGUAACGCGUGGGUAACCUGCCUCAUACAGGGGGAUAACAGUUAGAAAUGACUGCUAAUACCGCAUAAGACCACAGCACCGCAUGGUGCAGGGGUAAAAACUCCGGUGGUAUGAGAUGGACCCGCGU